GUGCAGCAGGCGCGAAACUUUACAAUGUGCGAAAGCACGAUAAGGGAACUCUGAGUGCCUCCUAAGGAGGCUGUUCAGGUGUCUAAAAGCACCUGAAGGAAGGGCUGGGUAAGACCGGUGCCAGCCGCCGCGGUAACACCGGCAGCCCAAGUGGUAGCCACGUUUAUUGGGUCUAAAGCGUCGUAGCCGGCUGGGUAAGUUCCUUGGGAAAUUUGGCUGCUUAACAGUCAAGCUUUCAGGGAAUACUGCUCGGCUUGGGGACCGGGAGAGGUCAGAGGUACUCCAGGGGUAGGGUGAAAUCCAUUAAUCCGUUGGGGGACCACCGGUAGCGAAGGCGUCUGACCAGACCGGGUCCGACGGUGAGGGACGAAGGCUAGGGGCGCGAACCGGAUUAGAUACCCCGGUAGU
rnacentral:rRNA from 1 species